rnacentral:rRNA from 1 species
GACGAACGCUGGCGGCGUGCUUAACACAUGCAAGUCGAGCGGUGCGGCGAACGGGUGAGUAACGCGUGAGUAACUGCCCCCCUCUCUGGGAUAACAGUUGGAAACGGCUGCUAAUACCGGAUAGUGGGGGAUGACUCGCGUCCUAUCAGCUUAGUGGUGGGGUAGUGGCCUACCACGCCGACGCCGGGUAGCCGGGCUGAGAGGGCGACCGGCCACAUGGGGCUGAGAUACGGCCCAAACGCCUACUGGAGGCAGAAGUGGGGAAUAUUGCACAAUGGGGGAAACCCUGAUGCAGAAACGCCGCGUGCGGGAUGACGGCCUUCGGGUUGGAAACCGCUUUCAGCCAUGACGCGGUAGUGGCAGAAGAAGCACCGGCUAACUACGUGCCAGCAGCCGCGGUAAUAC